rnacentral:rRNA from 1 species
AUUGAACGCUGGCGGCAGGCCUAACACAUGCAAGUCGAACGAGUGGCGGACGGGUGAGUAAUGUCUGGGAACCUUCCUGAUGGAGGGGGCUAACUACUGGAAACGGUAGCUAAUGCCGCAUACUAUCAGAUGUGCCCAGAUGGGAUUAGCUGGUUGGUGGGGUAACGGCGCACCAAGGCGCCGAUCCCUAGCUGGUCUGAGGGGAGGACCAGCCACCCUGGAACUGAGACACGGCCCAGACCCCUACGGGAGGCAGCAGGGGGGAAUAUUGCACAAUGGGCGCAAGCCUGAUGCAGCCGUGCCGCGUGUAUGAAGAAGGCCUUCGGGUUGUAAAGUACUUUCAGCGGGGAGGCGUUACCCGCAGAAGAAGCACCGGCUAACUCCGUGCCAGCAGCCGCGGUAAUUC